rnacentral:rRNA from 1 species
CCUACGGGCGGCAGCAGUGGGGAAUAUUGGACAAUGGGGGCAACCCUGAUCCAGCCAUGCCGCGUGUGUGAAGAAGGCCCUCGGGUUGUAAAGCACUUUCAGUGAGGAAGAACGCCUGGUGGUUAAUACCCAUCAGGAAAGACAUCACUCACAGAAGAAGCACCGGCUAACUCCGUGCCAGCAGCCGCGGUAAUACGGAGGGCGCGAGCGUUAAUCGGAAUUACUGGGCGUAAAGCGCGCGUAGGUGGCUUGAUAAGCCGGUUGUGAAAGCCCCGGGCUCAACCUGGGAACGGCAUCCGGAACUGUCAAGCUAGAGUGCAGGAGAGGAAGGUAGAAUUCCCGGUGUAGCGGUGAAAUGCGUAGAGAUCGGGAGGAAUACCAGUGGCGAAGGCGGCCUUCUGGACUGACACUGACACUGAGGUGCGAAAGCGUGGGUAGCAAACAGGAUUAGAUACCCUUGUAGUC